UACGGAGGGGGCAAGCGUUAUUCGGAAUUACUGGGCGUAAAGGGCGUGUAGGCGGCCUAGCAGGUCAGAUGUGAAAUCCCCGGGCUUAACCCGGGAACUGCGUUUGAAACCGUUGGGCUUGAGGCUAGGAGAGGAAAGCGGAAUUCCUGGUGUAGCGGUGAAAUGCGUAGAUAUCAGGAGGAACACCGGUGGCGAAAGCGGCUUUCUGGACUAGCUCUGACGCUGAUGCGCGAAAGCGUGGGUAGCAAACGGG
rnacentral:rRNA from 1 species